rnacentral:tRNA from 2 species
UGGACUUAAGCCCCAUAUAUAAAAUUUAUUAUUUUUGUUAGAAAACCGGAAACAAUAAAUAAA